AGCGAAAAUACAGAGCGUAGGCAUUGGUAAUCUUCUCUAUUUGCGCCGUGAUAGGCUCAAACAGUCAUCAUGAAUCACGUCGACAAUCUACUGGCAAAUCCUUUUCAAACCUUGGUACUAUAUGAAGAGAAAUUAUAGAUAACACGUAUCGGUGUUCAUCGGCCAUUGGGCAUAAGCAUUACACAAGUCGGAAAUCGCAAGUUCAACUAGUGUUUUGGAAGGACUCAAUGGCUAACUGCAAGCGCCGCAAAGCAAUCACUGUUUUGCUUCCCCUGCCUGCUAUUAGGUAGAGAGGAUGUGUGGUGCAAGUCUGGAUUUAAGGAUUUAAAACAUCUGUCUGAAAGUGUCUCUUUUCCGAGUUUAAAAGUAUAAACAUUCAGACGCAACACCAUGGACCAGAAAAGGUUGAAUACAUUGGCAGUGUUUUGAAAGUUCCCAGUUGUCUUGAAAGCACCAUAAAUCCAGAGUGAUGACAACGUUUGCCCACAAGAAAGACCGCCGCACCACCUUCCUGUUCAAAAAGGCGAUCACACAGAGAGAGAGAGAAGACUUAACCAGGUAACUAGACGCACUUGUUCAUAUGGCCUACUUUCUAUCCCUCAUCCAUCCUUCUCCA